GCGGGCAUACAUGAUGCUCCGGAUUAACGGAGGGCUGCGGCAAGGACAGCGAUUGCGGGAGCUCCGAGGCCGGGAGCUAUGAGUCGGUUCACCACCACGAGCACCCAGGCGACGGCGAGGGUGAUGAUGCCGAUGAUCUUGAUGCUGAGGCUAAGGGUGAGGGUGAGGGAGAGGAUGAAGGCGAGGACAAGCUCUGUGAGGAGAGCGAGUUUGUUGAGGGGUUUGUUGAGGUGAGGAUGAGGAACCAGAGCUAGACCUUGCAGAGUACAGGAUGCUGAGGCUUACGCGCGAGUGCUUCAGGACGCCAAGGAGCGUGAGGUUGCCUUGCUGGGACCAGGAUUGGCGAGCAAUGGACAUGUUGAGGAUCACGUGAACGGCAAACAGGAGAUGGCUACAGGGUACGAGAUUGUCAGGAGGGCAUAUACUUGUGCUGUAAAUUUGUCAUCCAACAAGGUGAUUGGUCUUUGCAUAAUUGUGAACUGGUGUGGUGAGCCUCCCCUUCGUUGCUCUGGUUUACCAACGGCAGUCAUAUCUUCUGAGUUUGCUUUGCUUGGUUUGUACAGACAGAUUAAUAAUUUUUUAGAGCUACUUGCUGAACUUCACCUUGUAUCUCCUCUGAACUUUCUGUUUAGCUCUCUAUUCAGAAAUCGAUUGUGGAGUAAAUGCCCAGAACUGUAUGAGUUUA